AUUGAACGCUGGCGGCAUGCCUUACACAUGCAAGUCGAACGGCAGCACGGGAGCAAUCCUGGUGGCGAGUGGCGAACGGGUGAGUAAUAUAUCGGAACGUGCCCAGUCGUGGGGGAUAACGUAGCGAAAGCUACGCUAAUACCGCAUACGAUCUAUGGAUGAAAGCGGGGGAUCGCAAGACCUCGCGCGAUUGGAGCGGCCGAUAUCAGAUUAGGUAGUUGGUGAGGUAAAGGCUCACCAAGCCGACGAUCUGUAGCUGGUCUGAGAGGACGACCAGCCACACUGGGACUGAGACACGGCCCAGACUCCUACGGGAGGCAGCAGUGGGGAAUUUUGGACAAUGGGCGCAAGCCUGAUCCAGCCAUUCCGCGUGCAGGACGAAGGCCUUCGGGUUGUAAACUGCUUUUGUACGGAACGAAAAGGCUCUGGUUAAUACCUGGGGCUCAUGACGGUACCGUAAGAAUAAGCACCGGCUAACUACGUGCCAGCAGCCGCGGUAA
rnacentral:rRNA from 1 species